rnacentral:rRNA from 1 species
AGGACGAACGCUGGCGGCGUGCUUAACACAUGCAAGUGGUGCGACGAACCAGGGCUUGCCCUGGGGCCAAGCCGCGAACGGGUGAGUAACACGUGAGUAAUCUGCCCCGAUGACCGGGACAACCCGAGGAAACUCGGGCUAAUACCGGAUGUGGUGCACGGGUAUAAGCCUGUGUACUAAAGGAAGCUUCGGCCUCCGCAUUGGGAGGAGCUCGCGGCCCAUUAGCUUGUUGGUGGGGUAACGGCCUACCAAGGCAACGAUGGGUA